GUCCACACCGUAAACGAUGAUUACUCGCUGUUAUGGUGUAUGCUGUAGCGGCCAAGCGAAAGCGUUAAGUAAUCCACCUGGGAGUACGCCGGCAACGGUGAAACUCAAAGGAAUUGACGGGGUCCGCACAAGCGGUGGAGCAUGUGGUUUAAUUCGAUGAUACGCGAGGAACCUUACCUGGGCUAGAAUGUGAAGGAAUGAUUUAGAGAUAGAUCAGUCAGCAAUGACCUGAAACAAGGUGCUGCAUGGCUGUCGU
rnacentral:rRNA from 1 species